GUGAGGAAUAUUGGACAAUGGGCGCAAGCCUGAUCCAGCCAUGCCGCGUGCAGGAAGACGCAUCUAUGGUGUGUAAACUGCUUUUGUACGGGAAGAAACACUCCCUCGUGAGGGAGCUUGACGGUACCGUAAGAAUAAGGAUCGGCUAACUCCGUGCCAGCAGCCGCGGUAAUACGGAGGAUCCAAGCGUUAUCCGGAAUCAUUGGGUUUAAAGGGUCCGUAGGCGGUUUAAUAAGUCAGUGGUGAAAGCCCAUCGCUCAACGAUGGAACGGCCAUUGAUACUGUUAGACUUGAAUUACAAGGAAGUAACUAGAAUAUGUAGUGUAGCGGUGAAAUGCUUAGAUAUUACAUGGAAUACCAAUUGCGAAGGCAGGUUACUACUUGUUGAUUGACGCUGAUAGACGAAAGCGUGGGGAGCGAACAGGAUUAGAAACCCCUGUAGUCC
rnacentral:rRNA from 1 species